GCAGUUACACCAGCAGUACCCCGUCCCACCUAACUCCUCUGUGAGAAGAACAUCAAAUUGUGCCAUGCAUUGGUUUAGGGAAUAUCUUGUGGGAUAUGGGUCUGUUUUCUGGGCAGCACUGAAGUGCUACAGAAACCUAAUAUAUCCCAAACGAAACUUAAAGCAGGGUCUAGAGACACCUGUGCACAAAUAGGGGUGCGGUGCAGAACCCCAUGGGGCUCAGCAGCCCCUGCCCAAGGCAGGGAGGGGACUUGGGGACGUGGGGACACGAGGAUGUGGGGGCCCUGUGCUUACCUGAUUUCCGCAGUGUGCCCCUGGGGAGAUCAGCGGCCCCGUGCUGCCCCGUGUCCCAUGACAUGGGGCCAGGCGGCUGCUUCUGCCUUCUGUGUUCGCUCUGCUGGCCUUUGGGUCUGUGAGGCUCCCCAGCUCUUGCCUGGUCUCUCCGGUGGGGCGAGGACGGAGGCUCACAUGGAUGCCACCUCCCUGCCGCCCCACGGGGACCCCACAGACCCCAGGAGCUGCUCCCUUUGCUCUUCACUGCCGGCUGAUGUUUCCCCAGAAAAUCAACAAGCCGGUGGGUUUUCUCACCCCCGCAAAGAGAAGAGCUCUGAGUGUGCACAGCCACUGAGGGGUUGUGCCACUGCUCCACGGAGGGCGAUUUCUCCCGAGUGUGCCUUAAACCACGCUCCCAGAGAAAUCAGAUCGGCCCAGAGGAAGCCGCACGCCCACUCUCUUUAGCAAAGCACUGCAACAGCAAAGCCCGGCACCAGGGCAACCGCUCGUGUUAUCGUGAUCGUUCCGGCACGUUGCGACACCACUGCGCCAGCACCACGCUGUCCUGGGGGCAAGGGCACGGGGGGAGUGCAGGGUGGGAGCAGCCUGGCCCUGUGCCCAGGGGCUGUCCUGGCACUGGGGGAUGCGGAGAUGGAGAAGGGAGAGGAGUAGAAGUGGCCCAGCAGUCCCUUUGGGCUCUUGCAGCUGGGAGUGAUCCAGACCUUGGUGAAAUCAUCCACUGGAAGAAACUUCUGAGGAUUAGUGAGACUUUUUCCCAUCUGUGAUGUAAACGCACAGCAAUCUGCUGGGCUGAUUGUUUGCUGCAAUCCCUGCCAAGCUGGUGCACAUGCUCGCCGAGAUGAUCCCACUUGCUUUUUAAGGAGAAACACAGAGAAAAUGGGCAAAGCAUCCCAACAUAGCAUGGCUUCUGCCUCCCAUUGGCUGUGGUUUGGGCUCUUCUGUCUCAUAGUGAUGCUCAGUAAGGAGUUUGGCUCUGCACAUUCUCUGCCCACCUCACAGCAGCACAGCGCUGUUUUGCAGUUGGGAGCAGCUGUGGCAUCGUGCAGAGGGAUGGGGCUGCCAUGCAGGGUCCCCAUGCUGCAGCCUGACAACCCCUCAUAGGGACCCAAUGUUGCUUCAGGGGGGUGCAGGAUGCAGGAGUGACGUGGGACAGCCGGAACCCUAACCCUGCUCCCUUCUCCAGGAGGUCACAUACCUGCCUGCAGGUGCUUGGGUUCACCACCCUGAGCUUGUGUUACUCCUUGUGCCUGCCCAUGGUCAUUCUCACUAUCAUGUUGCAAAA
rnacentral:lncRNA from 1 species